UACGAAGGGGGCUAGCGUUGUUCGGAAUUACUGGGCGUAAAGCGCAUGUGGGCAGGUCGUUAAGUCGGGGGUGAAAGCCCAGAGCUCAACUCUGGAACUGCCUUCGAUACUGGCGACCUGGACCCAAGGAGAGGCGAGUGGAAUUGCGAGUGUAGAGGUGAAAUUCGUAGAUAUUCGCAGGAACACCAGUGGCGAAGGCGACUCGCUGGACGUGUGGUGACGCUGAGAUGCGAAAGCGUGUGGAGCAAACAGG
rnacentral:rRNA from 1 species